rnacentral:rRNA from 1 species
GACGAACGCUGGCGGCGUGCUUAACACAUGCAAGUCGAACGGGAAGGCCCUGCUUUUGUGGGGUGCUCGAGUGGCGAACGGGUGAGUAACACGUGAGUAACCUGCCCUUGACUUUGGGAUAACUUCAGGAAACUGGGGCUAAUACCGGAUAGGAGCUCCUGCUGCAUGGUGGGGGUUGGAAAGUUUCGGCGGUUGGGGAUGGACUCGCGGCUUAUCAGCUUGUUGGUGGGGUAGUGGCUUACCAAGGCUUUGACGGGUAGCCGGCCUGAGAGGGUGACCGGCCACAUUGGGACUGAGAUACGGCCCAGACUCCUACGGGAGGCAGCAGUGGGGAAUAUUGCACAAUGGGCGGAAGCCUUAUGCAGCAACGCCGCGUGCGGGAUGACGGCCUUCGGGUUGUAAACCGCUUUCGCCUGUGACGAAGCGUGAGUGACGGUAAUGGGUAAAGAAGCACCGGCUAACUACGUG